UGAGGAAUAUUGGUCAAUGGGCGAGAGCCUGAACCAGCCAAGUAGCGUGAAGGAUGACUGCCCUAUGGGUUGUAAACUUCUUUUAUAAAGGAAUAAAGUCGGGUAUGGAUACCCGUUUGCAUGUACUUUAUGAUAAGGAUCGGCUAACUCCGUGCC
rnacentral:rRNA from 1 species